CUACGGGCCGCAGCAGGCGAGAAAACUUUGCAAUGUGCGAAAGCACGACAAGGUUAAUCCGAGUGGUUUGUGCUAAACGAACCUUUUGUCAGUCCUAGAAACACUAACGAAUAAGGGGUGGGCAAGUUCUGGUGUCAGCCGCCGCGGUAAAACCAGCACCUCAAGUGGUCAGGAUGAUUAUUGGGCCUAAAGCAUCCGUAGCCGGCUCUGUAAGUUUUCGGUUAAAUCUGUACGCUUAACGUACAGGCUGCCGGGAAUACUGCAGAGCUAGGGAGUGGGAGAGGUAGACGGUACUCGAUAGGAAGGGGUAAAAUCCUUUGAUCUAUUGAUGACCACCUGUGGCGAAGGCGGUCUACCAGAACACGUCCGACGGUGAGGGAUGAAAGCUGGGGGAGCAAACCGGAUUAGAUACCCUAGUAGUC
rnacentral:rRNA from 1 species